AAGACUAUACUUUCAGGGAUCAUUUCUAUAGUUCUUGACUAGGAAAUGUGUUUCAAAAGUGUUGCGUUUCUCAAACCACGAUGAUGAGUUUUGAUACUCUUUUCUGAGCAUGAAUCAGAUGUAGAGUAAUGAUUUAUUUCAUAUGCUCUACAUCAUUGAUGAAUGUUCUAUAUUGUUGUUUUGCAGUACUGAGGAAAAGGGUAUGAUCAGAGUGGU